ensembl:lncRNA novel transcript
ACAAGACAGAAGAAGACUAGGUCUGUCAAGGCUAUACAGAAACUGUCCAACACUUGGACUUUGCACUGUUGCUGAAUGUGGUUAUUAGCUCCGAGAGUUUUUUUUUUAAUAUUUUGGGGUUUUCUUUAUAAAGGAUAGAUCAUCUACAAAUACUUCUUGCUUUUCAAUUUAGAUGAUGUUUCCUUUCCUGCCCAAUUUAUCUGGUUAAAACGUCUGAUACACUGUUGAAUAGAAGAGGCAAGGGCACAUGUUCAUGUCUUGUUCCUGAUAUUGGGAGAAAGCAUCCCGUUUUUCACCACUCUGGCCAGGACAGCCUAUCUGUGCAGGAGGCAUUGCUGGCACCCCGUGGGGACUGAGGACCAAGGAGGAGCUGCUCCCCCACACACGGUUCGUACUUCUGCUCUGUGAAGAGAGACAACUGUGCCCUGUCACCUUCACUGAACUAUGAGGAUAUUUUUAUAAGACAUCUAUUUCCCAGAUGAGAUAUUCCCUGACAAGUUUUAGGAUAUCAUUAUGUUGUCUGCUGGCUCAUCAACUGAGAAAUCAGCUGCCAGUCUUAUUGUUGUCUCUGUAAAGGAAUGUGUUUUUCACAUCUGGCUACGGCACUUACCCAAGCAGAAACGGGGUUUCACCAUGUUAGCCAAGAUGGUCUCGAUCUCCUGACCUCGCGAUCCGCCCGCCUUGGCCUCCCAAAGUGCUGGGAUUAUGCAUUCUCUCUUUACAUCACAAUGACCAUGACCUUGGAUAUGGAGUCCACUCAAAAGUAAUCUGAACUAAUAAACAAAUUCUGCAAGGUUGAAGAAUACAAGGAGAUAUGGAAUCACCAAAGAAUACUGACACAGAAGAACCAAGUAGGAGAGUGUGCAAUUCCCAGUCUCAUAUCUCAUUACAAAACCAAACUAAACAAGGCAUUGGCACAAGAAUAGACAUACAGAUCAAUGGAACAGAACUGAGACCCCAGAAAUAAAACCAAGUGGUCAGCUGACUUUUUGAAAGCUUGCCAAGACCAUCAAAUGGGGAAAAAUUUUUUUAAUAUACGUUGCAGGGAUAAUUGGAUAUAAACAUCCAAAAGAAUGAACUUGGAUGCUUAUCUUGCACCAUAUGCAAAAAUAACUGAAAAUGAAUUCAAGGCUAUAACUAUUAACUCAGAAAAAAAAAAUGAGCUGCAUUUUCAUGAUCCUAGGUUUGGCAAAAUACUCUUAAGUAUAACUCCAAAAAAAAACCCACCAAAAAA